rnacentral:tRNA from 2 species
UGGGGUGCAGGUCACUUCCGCUUCUGGCACAUAGCAGCCUUCAUAACAGUAGCACUCCGUCAUGGGGUGUCGGGGGUCGGAGGUUCAAAUCCUCUCGUGCCGACCA